AAUCAACGCUGGCGGCGUGCCUCAGACAUGCAAGUCGAACGCGAAAGGUUCCUUCGGGAACCGAGUAGAGUGGCGCACGGGUGAGUAACACGUAGGUAAUUUGCCUUUGGGUGGGGAAUAACAGCCGGAAACGGCUGCUAAUACCGCAUAAUGCAGCGGCUCGACAUCGAGACAGUUGUUAAAGCGGGGGAUCGCAAGACCUCGCGCCUAAAGAGAAGCCUGCGGCAGAUUAGCUAGUUGGUAGGGUAAUGGCCUACCAAGGCGACGAUCUGUAACCGGCCUGAGAGGGCGACCGGCCACACUGGGACUGAGAUACGGCCCAGACUCCUACGGGAGGCAGCAGUGGGGAAUCUUGCGCAAUGGGCGAAAGCCUGACGCAGCGACGCCGCGUGAGGGAUGACGGCCUC
rnacentral:rRNA from 1 species